AACGAACGCUGGCGGCAUGCCUAACACAUGCAAGUCGAACGAGACCUUCGGGUCUAGUGGCGCACGGGUGCGUAACGCGUGGGAACCUGCCUUUAGGUCCGGAAUAACUCAGAGUAAUUUGAGCUAAUACCGGAUGAUGUCUUCGGACCAAAGAUUUAUCGCCUUUAGAUGGGCCCGCGUUGGAUUAGCUAGUUGGUGGGGUAAAGGCCUACCAAGGCGACGAUCCAUAGCUGGUCUGAGAGGAUGAUCAGCCACACUGGGACUGAGACACGGCCCAGACUCCUACGGGAGGCAGCAGUGGGGAAUAUUGGACAAUGGGCGAAAGUCUGAUCCAGCAAUGCCGCGUAAGUGAUGAAGGGCUUAGGGUUGUAAAGCUCUUUUACCCGAGAUGAUAAUGACAGUAUCGGGAGAAUAAGCUCCGGCUAACUCCGUG
rnacentral:rRNA from 1 species